rnacentral:rRNA from 1 species
GACGUAGGGUGCGAGCGUUGUCCGGAUUUAUUGGGCGUAAAGAGCUCGUAGGCGGCUCGUCGCGUCGGCUGUGAAAUCCCGUGGCUUAACUGCGGGCUUGCAGCUGAUACGGGCGGGCUAGAGUUCGGUAGGGGAGACUGGAAUUCCUGGUGUAGCGGUGAAAUGCGCAGAUAUCAGGAGGAACACCGGUGGCGAAGGCGGCGUUCUGGACUGCAACUGACACUGAAAAACGAAAGCCAGGGGAGCAAACGGG